AUGGCCUGGGAUUCUCUCCUUCUCACCCUCCUUAUUCACUGCUCAGGGUCUUUGGCUCAGUCUGUCCUCACUCAGCCAUCUGCAGUGUCCAAGUCUGUUGGGGAGACAGUCACAAUCUCCUGCACUGGAAGCAGCACUAAUGUUGGACGUGGAUAUCCAGACUGGUUACAGCAGCUCUCUGGUAGUGUUCCAAGAACACUUAUCUAUGAUGCUGAUAAGAGACCAUCCGGGAUCCCAGAACGAUUCUCAGGCUCCAGGUCAGGGAACACAGCCUACCUGAGCAUCUCUGGGCUCCAGUCUGAGGACGAGGCUUAUUAUUACUGUGCAGCCUGGGACAACAACAUUAAUGCUCACACAGUGCUGCAGGCCAGUGGGGAAGUGAGACAAAAACAUUCUGCACACAACAGUGGGUCUUCUCUGUGCAUCCUCAGUCAGGACACCUGUUCCCCCUUGUUUGACUUAAAGCAAACAUUCAAGAUAUUCUCAAGAAAUAUAUUUCUUUUACCAUAUUCCACCUGCAAAUCAUAUCCUUUUCAACAACAUGUGGUCUGGUAUUUUGAAAUGGAAAGAGAAUCCUGUAACCUAGGAUUUGACUUCUCAAGGAAAUCUACAACAUAA